AGAGUUUGAUCCUGGCUCAGAUUGAACGCUGGCGGCAGGCCUAACACAUGCAAGUCGAACGGUAACAGGAAGCAGCUUGCUGCCUCGCUGACGAGUGGCGGACGGGUGAGUAAUGUCUGGGAAACUGCCUGAUGGAGGGGGAUAACUACUGGAAACGGUAGCUAAUACCGCAUAACGUCGCAAGACCAAAGAGGGGGACCUUCGGGCCUCUUGCCAUCGGAUGUGCCCAGAUGGGAUUAGCUAGUAGGUGGGGUAACGGCUCACCUAGGCGACGAUCCCUAGCUGGUCUGAGAGGAUGACCAGCCACACUGGAACUGAGACACGGUCCAGACUCCUACGGGAGGCAGCAGUGGGGAAUAUUGCACAAUGGGCGCAAGCCUGAUGCAGCCAUGCCGCGUGUAUGAAGAAGGCCUUCGGGUUGUAAAGUACUUUCAGCGGGGAGGAAGGGAGUAAAGUUAAUACCUUUGCUCAUUGACGUUACCCGCAGAAGAAGCACCGGCUAACUCCGUGCCAGCAGCCGCGGUAAUACGGAGGGUGCAAGCGUUAAUCGGAAUUACUGGGCGUAAAGCGCACGCAGGCGGUUUGUUAAGUCAGAUGUGAAAUCCCCGGGCUCAACCUGGGAACUGCAUCUGAUACUGGCAAGCUUGAGUCUCGUAGAGGGGGGGUAGAAUCCCGGGGUAGCGGUGAAAUGCGUAAGAUUCUGGAGGAAAUCCCGGUGGGGAAGGCGGCCCCCUGGACGAAGACUGACGCUCAGGUGCAAAAGCGUGGGGAGCAACCAGGAUUAGAUACCCUGGUAGUCCACGCCGUAAACGAUGUCGACUUGGAGGUUGUGCCCCUGAGGCGUGGCUUCCGGAGCUAACGCGUUAAGUCGACCGCCUGGGGAGUACGGCCGCAAGGUUAAAACUCAAAUGAAUUGACGGGGGCCCGCACAAGCGGUGGAGCAUGUGGUUUAAUUCGAUGCAACGCGAAGAACCUUACCUGGUCUUGACAUCCACGGAAGUUUUCAGAGAUGAGAAUGUGCCUUCGGGAACCGUGAGACAGGUGCUGCAUGGCUGUCGUCAGCUCGUGUUGUGAAAUGUUGGGUUAAGUCCCGCAACGAGCGCAACCCUUAUCCUUUGUUGCCAGCGGUCCGGCCGGGAACUCAAAGGAGACUGCCAGUGAUAAACUGGAGGAAGGUGGGGAUGACGUCAAGUCAUCAUGGCCCUUACGACCAGGGCUACACACGUGCUACAAUGGCGCAUACAAAGAGAAGCGACCUCGCGAGAGCAAGCGGACCUCAUAAAGUGCGUCGUAGUCCGGAUUGGAGUCUGCAACUCGACUCCAUGAAGUCGGAAUCGCUAGUAAUCGUGGAUCAGAAUGCCACGGUGAAUACGUUCCCGGGCCUUGCACUCACCGCCCGUCA
rnacentral:rRNA from 1 species